UAGAUGUUAUUCAAUGCAUAUGUUGGGAUACACCGAGCGAGAAUACAAAUUGUCUUUGACAAUUACCAAAAUGUGUCCAGUGCCUUUAACCUAAAUGGCUACCCAGUCUUCAUUUACCAAGUAGGCCUGUCAUAUGCAGUAAGUAUUUGCCUUGUACAGUAGGCCUACUAUACUAUAUGACCAAUGCGAAUUACAAACCUCAUUGUGUGUGCAUGUGUGUGUUUAGCUUAAUUUAUGCAGAAUGUUUGUAUUUUAGCUCAUCAAAAUUUUCUGAUAUUAAUCAUUCUGAGUUUGAUGUAUUUUUUUUUUACACAUUUUGAUGUGAAUUGAAGUCCAAUUCCAGUUUGGAUUUGGUUGCAUAUGGUAUUUUUUAAAGAUAAUCAUUAUACAUAUAUUUAUUCCACUAAAUUAAAAAUUUUCAUUUUGUACGAUUUUAUCUUUUAAACAAAUAAUUAGACAUCCUUUCACCGCUUUCCCCUCUACUGUCAUUCCGUAUCAACAUUCAAUUCGAAUAUCAUUAUUUGUGCAAGGUAUUUGCCUGGACAUUGAAUAUGACACACGCGCCAUGCAAUGCAUUAUGAAAAUCUAUCACCAUGGCAACGGGGGAAACAUCUCUCGUGGAUCUGAUAAAAUAUGCAGAAAGCGAGGGGUUGAUUGUGAUCAGAUCAACCAGGGCCAAUUUCACAAGACUGCUUAAGCAGACAGUUUUGCAAAGCGUCAAAAAGCAGGAUACCAGUCACAAAUGGUACAUGUGACACUGUAGUUUGGCUGAUAACCUUAUUCUGGUAAGCAUGAUUUGGUUGUUGUAAGCAUAUUUGUGUGCUGAGAAAGCUUAAUGAAAUUUGUCCCAGGUCCGAUCCGGAAGUUCUUGUUGAUAUCGCGUGUGUGAAGGUUCUGUAGCUUUUAAUAAACAACUUGGCCUCAAUCAAGCCGAAAGCACGAAAAAGUCCCAUCUUUCCUCGUGCAUGAUUUGUUUUUACGGAUGGGGGACAGGCAAACAAGCGUCUCGACUGAAGGCUACAGGCUGAUUAUAAAACAACCACUUCAUACUCUAGAUAAUGCACAUGUUUUAAUGGAUUUUGCCACCCAUUAACUCAAUGCUCGUUCUUUGUAUUCAUUUGAUCAUUAUGUUGAUCACUAUGUUUACGUUUACGCCAACCUACUCCAUGCUUAAUGGUUGUUAUUAAUGAAUGUUUUGUUCUCAUUUCUAAUUUAAAUUUUCAAGGCCACUUUUAAAUUACUCAACCGUAAAAUGUAAAGCCAAUGUAUUUGUUCAGUCAUCACAUUAUUUGUAAAAUGGCGUACAAGGUCAUAUUGUUUUAGGCAAAAUAUGUGGAACUUGCGUUUGGAAAAAAAAUCCAUUAUAAUCUUGACAGGUAUCUGAGUGCACAAAUGGCAGAAUGGGUUGAACGUGUUUAUCUCAGUACAUAUCAGUGUAAUAUUAUCUUGAUAAACUCGUGCAUACCAUAAAAUUAUCAUGUACAUGUUCACUAUUUCCAGCUGGAAUGUUUUUUAUAUUUUUUAACACAAAUACUUGUCAACAGUUCAAAAAAGCAACACAUUUUUAUCAUUUUUUAAAUUUAGGGUUUUGUUGCAUGAAUUUGAAUAUUAAUUGUUUUUAAAUUGCUGUGGAGUCUUUUGGCUAUUGACAUAUUUAUUUAAAUUUUGCUACCGUCAUGAAUUUUUAUUUUCUAUUUAACAUGUUUGUUCCUCAUGGAACACUCGUACGGUGUAAUGUAUAAAUUCCAUUUGCACACAAAAAUGCACUCGGUUUUUUUGCUCAUUAGUAAAUAUCUUUGGUUUUUGUUUUUUAAAUAGAUGUUAACAAAACUUUUAAUUUCCACUUCAUCCAUUUAAAUAUUAUAUGUCGAUGUUAUUACAUUGUCCGGUGCUGGUCCAUUGUACACACGUUUGAAAAUAUUCAGUAGAUUUGAUAAUGGUUACAAUAAUAAAUAUCCACACAAAAUUAAUUUCAUUAUAUUAUUAUCUUUUUAUCAUUUUGUGUCAAGUCCUGUAGGACAUUCUUCAAUUUUCUUUUAUUAGCGGUUCGUUGAACUUGGUUUAAACUGAUAGUCAACCUCAAAUUCAUCUUUGAAUUUUUCAUCAUGAAAAUGGACACAAAAGUGCACUUAGCUUUACGUAUACAUGUGCUGUAAGGAUCUCCCAUGUAUUAAAUACUAUGGUCCUCUA